rnacentral:rRNA from 1 species
UAGGGAAUCUUCGGCAAUGGGGGGAACCCUGACCGAGCAACGCCGCGUGAGUGAAGAAGGUUUUCGGAUCGUAAAGCUCUGUUGUUAAGGAAGAACGAGUGUGAGAAUGGAAAGUUCAUGCUGUGACGGUACUUAACCAGAAAGGGACGGCUAACUACGUGCCAGCAGCCGCGGUAAUACGUAGGUGCCGAGCGUUGUCCGGAUUUAUUGGGCGUAAAGCGAGCGCAGGCGGUUAGAAAAGGCGGAAGUGAAAGGCAGUGGCUCAACCAUUGUAGGCUUUGGAAGCUGUUUAACUUGAGUGCAGAAGGGGAGAGUGGAAUUCCAUGUGUAGCGGUGAAAUGCGUAGAUAUAUGGAGGAACACCGGUGGCGGAAGCGGCUCUCUGGUCUGUAACUGACGCUGAGGCUCGAAAGCGUGGGGAGCGAACAGG